UUUCGAAUCAUUCACAAUGGGCGAAAGCCUGAUGGUGCGACGCCGCGUGAGGGAUGAAGGCCUUCGGGUUGUAAACCUCUGUCACCGGGGAAGAAACGCUUCAAGUUAACAGCUUGAAGCCUGACUUAACCCGGAGAGGAAGCAGUGGCUAACUCUGUGCCAGCAGCCGCGGUAAUACAGAGACUGCAAGCGUUAUUCGGAUUCACUGGGCGUAAAGGGUGCGCAGGCGGCCGGGUGUGUCAGAUGUGAAAUCCCGAGGCUUAACCUCGGAACUGCGUCUGAAACUACUCGGCUAGAGUAUUGGAGAGGGUAACGGAAUUCACGGUGUAGCAGUGAAAUGCGUAGAUAUCGUGAGGAACACCAGAGGCGAAGGCGGUUACCUGGACAAUUACUGACGCUCAGGCACGAAAGCAUGGGGAGCAAAAGGGAUUAGAUACCCAAGUAGUCCCUGAGCGGGCUGGCAAGGCGCAU
rnacentral:rRNA from 1 species